UACAUCUCUAAAAACUAUAAAAUGGAAUACAAGAAAUAAAAUGGUGUACAUAUGUGGACCUAUAGGUUAAAUCUCAACCCACUUCAAAAAUUUUGGAGUCCAUGGAGAAGCCCAACUCAUCUUUUCUUCAUUGCAUAUUGCAGCCCAAUAUAUAUCCCAACUCCCAACUCCACGUGUCUUUUGCAAAAGCAGCCAGAUCCCCCCCAACCGCCUGAAAACAAUUCUCCAAUAUAUUAUUGUGAUACUACAAUUCCAUCACAGUUGAUCAAUUCCAAAGAAAUCUAGAGCUAGAGAAAAGAACGAGCAAAGAGUUCUUUUCUUUCCUUUUCAAAGACAAUUUUCCAACCUAAGGUUGAGCAGUGACGGUGGAGAAUGCUGAGCAGAGUUAUGAUUUUCUUUUUAUUUUAAGUAGAGGCUCUCGGCGGUGCAUGUCUCCAUACAUGUGACCGUGUUAAUUCCGCUGCGUAUUAAGGUUUUAGAUGACAUCGACUGUUACUCUUAUAAUUAUUUAUUAAAAUGUAAGAUUUCCAUUCGA